UUCCCUUUUUCGAGUUCAAGUAUACGAAGUACAGUUUAUAGUCUAGUUAGCGCCGGUUAUAGCCUGUUCGGCCCUAGUCAAUUCUUUCUUACAAGCUUAAUUCAGAGAAGCACCCGUGUCAUUCCUAUAGGUAAUAGUAUCAUUUUCUUUGGAUAAAGCAAAGACAGGUAAGGUGUAAGUAAGGAUCCGGCUCCGUAGUUAUAGAAUCGAAGAAGCAAGUAUGCGACUUAAAGCAAAGGUCGGGGGGCAGGCUCCUAACAAGGAGAUAAGGUCGGUAAAGCAAGAGUAGUUGGCCGGUAGGGCAGCUUUUUAGUCAGUAAUGGGUUAUGCGUUUGCCUAUUAUCUGUUAUGCGUUUGCCUAUUAUCUGUAUAAGUGACUAUCGCUAUUGGUACGAUUCGGAGUAGAGAAUAUAGGUAUGAUCCAGCAACCGCAAAAGG
rnacentral:lncRNA from 1 species